rnacentral:rRNA from 1 species
UGGGGAAUAUUGCACAAUGGACGCAAGCCUGAUGCAGCCAUGCCGCGUGUAUGAAGAAGGCCUUCGGGUUGUAAAGUACUUUCAGCGAGGAGGAAGGCGGUAAGGUUAAUAACCUUAUCGAUUGACGUUACUCGCAGAAGAAGCACCGGCUAACUCCGUGCCAGCAGCCGCGGUAAUACGGAGGGUGCAAGCGUUAAUCGGAAUUACUGGGCGUAAAGCGCACGCAGGCGGUCUGUCAAGUCGGAUGUGAAAUCCCCGGGCUCAACCUGGGAACUGCAUUCGAAACUGGCAGGCUAGAGUCUUGUAGAGGGGGGUAGAAUUCCAGGUGUAGCGGUGAAAUGCGUAGAGAUCUGGAGGAAUACCGGUGGCGAAGGCGGCCCCCUGGACAAAGACUGACGCUCAGGUGCGAAAGCGUGGGGAGCAAACA